rnacentral:rRNA from 1 species
UACGGAGGGUGCAAGCGUUAUCCGGAUUCACUGGGUUUAAAGGGUGCGUAGGUGGGCAGUUAAGUCAGUGGUGAAAUCUCCGGGCUCAACCCGGAAACUGCCAUUGAUACUAUCUGUCUUGAAUAUCGUGGAGGUAAGCGGAAUAUGUCAUGUAGCGGUGAAAUGCUUAGAUAUGACAUAGAACACCAAUUGCGAAGGCAGCUGGCUACACAAAUAUUGACACUGAGGCACGAAAGCGUGGGGAUCAAACAGG